UCACAAACUUGCCGCUGUCUCUGGUGCAAGGCAGUGAGAAGCUGCCCUUGCAUUUAUAUGUACUCCUUGCUGUCUGCCUCUUGUCACGUUUCUCUGCCUGGCUGGGACAAAAAGAGCAACCCAGAGCCUUGGAACAAGCUGUGACCCAACGACCAGUACAAGGGAUGUCCGGAGCCGGUGAGGUUUUCCCCAAGUCCAAAGUCAUGAAGAGAACCGCAGGACGUCCCUAUUUACAUCGGAGAAAUGAAUGCGAAAUACUGGCAGUGAGCAAUGGACAAGGCCGUGGCCGUACCUGAGAGAAGGAGCUUUGAAGGGAGACUAC